rnacentral:rRNA from 1 species
ACAGCCAAGGGAACGGGCUUGGAAGAAUCAGCGGGGAAAGAAGCCCUGUUGAGCUUGACUCUAGUCUGUUACUGUGGAACGACUUGAUGGGUGUAGAAUAUGCGGGAGGGGCAACCCGCCAGUGAAAUACCGCAACCGUCAACGUUGUUUUACUUACUCGGUGGUGCGGAGAGGGCCUCGGCUCGCUUCUGGAUCCAAGCCGCCUCGCGCGCGCGAUCCGCGUCGGGGACACUAACAGGUGGGGAGUUUGGCUGGGGCG